CAUUGAUUGAGGCUUCCUCUAAGUGAAUGAGAGCAUUUGCAGACCUCAGAAACCAGUUUGUCUCUGAACAAUAGAAAGACUUGUUAAAUGGGAAUCUAAGUAAAAAGAAGAAUUACUGUAAGAAAAGAGAUGUUGAAGACUGACAGCUCUUCUGUUGUUUUGACAGAAAUACCUUGUGGAUGACCUGAACAUUUGUUUUGAACCACAAUACUGGCUUGAGAAUGGCUUCCAGCAGACCUGGAAAAUACUCAUUCUGCAGAUGAGCUCCUGGUUAUUCUCAUAUCAUUCUGGACUGCACUGAAAAGCAUAUUUUCGUGGACGCUCAACUUCCCAAUCUAUUGUCCAGUUUCAGUUAUGUUGGAUAAAAGAUCAAAAGUCUCAGGAAGAACCAGACAUAGAUCCUACAGACUCCACAGAAGCUGCAGGCUACAGAGAAGACACUGUGGUCCAAAUACCCACAGGCUUACCUCAGCCAUUUGUGGGACUUGAAAGAGAUGUGGUGUCAAAUGGUUGCCUGCACACUGCUGCCAACCUACUCUGCAGGAAGAGAUUGUAUGUAUGUGCAGGGAUAACAGAAAAUCUUACUAUAAUUCAGUCCUAAAGCCAAUCAAGCAAGAGACAUAAAUCUGUGGACAACUAGGUUUUGAAAGAACAGGUGCUUGCAAAACCGAUUGUUACCUAAUUGAAUUUUGUAUCCAUUCUUGACAUGUUGUUAAUAAUCUCCAUAUGAACGUUUAUGAUCUGCCUGAAUCUACAGACCUAAACCAGUAACUCAAAAUGCAUAGGAGAAAGUGAUUAUGUCAGCACCGCAUGUUCCUCCUGGUGGUGUGCUGGAGACUAAACUCUUUAGUCAAGGUAACCCAGCUGGCUUUUCUUCCUGUGACUCAAACGGGAGCUUCAUCUAUGAAGUGUUACAGUGGGCAGCGAAAGUAUUAGUAGUAGCUCAGCAGGGAACUUCAGCCCUGAAUUGAAGUUAUCAAAACCAAUGAGCAUGUUCUUAAAUGUGUGCUUAGGAGUUUGGCUAAACUAGGUAAUGGUCUUGAUUAUGACCUAAAAAAGCUACGACUCAAUUAAAAAAAAAAAAAGUCAGAUUUAUUCAAGUUAUGGGUAGUUUGGCCUGGAUUAACAAUUAAGGUUUAGUCCUUAGUUUGAAAAGAAAUAUACAGCUUGCAUUGCUUGUUAUUGGACUUGGAUUUAUCUGAAAGGAUUCAUUUAUGUGAAAGCGCAUAUCUUAUUUGUGGAAAAAUCUCGAAAUAAUAAUGAAGGCAAAAUUACUACUGACUUCAGAAAGUCAACAUUUUUAAUUGCUUCAUACCAAUAUUCAAUGAUUUUGCUGGCUCACUAUGGAUGUCUUCUGAAAAGGGAGAAAUUAAAGGUUUCAUGUUUACUUUCACUAACCCUAA